CCUCCCUUUGUAUGGGAGCUCUGUUUUCACUCUAUUAAAUCUUGCAACUGCACUCUUUUCUGGUCUGUAUUUGUUACGGCUCUAGCUGAGCUUUUGCUCGCUGUCCGCCACUGCUGUUUGCCACCAUCGCAGACUCGCUGCUGACUUCCAUCCCUCCGGAUCUGGCAGGGUGUCCACUGUGCUCCUGAUCCAGUGAGGCACCCAUUGCCACUCCCGAUUGGGCUACAGGCUUGCCAUUGUUCCUGCAUGGCUAAGUGCCUGGGUUCGUCCUAAUUGAGCUGAACACUAGUCACUGGGUUCCACGGUUCUCUUCUGUAACCCACGGCUUCUAAUAGAGCUAUAAUACUUACUGUAUGGCCCAAGAUUCCAUUCCUUGGAAUCUGUGAGGCCAAGAACCCUAGGGCAGAGAAAACAAGGCUUGCCACCAUCUUGGAAGCAGCCCGUGGCCAUCUUUGGAGCUCUUUGAGCAAGGACACCCUGGUAACAUUUUGGUGACCACAAAGGGACCUCCAAAGUGGAAUUAUCCGCUUCUUUGUGCACAUGGAAGUAGAAGGCUACCCAC
rnacentral:lncRNA from 1 species